AAAUAUACAAGUAUACUCGGAUAGGUAUUAUUACAAUAAUUCAUAAUUAUUAUAAAAUAACACGUAGAUGUGUUGUAUAUAAGCAUACUGUUUAUAAUUGUACAUAUGUAUAAUAUAGGUUAAUAAUGUUUAUACUUAACAAAUGAAAAAAUAUAUAUAUAUACAUACAUAGGAACAUGUCCCUGCGCAGUUACCAAUAACACGGUUUUAUAGAAUAUUCAAAUAAAUAGAUAUAAGUGUACGUAAAAUAUCGGUUUUGAUGAAUCUACGGCGAAAUACAAUAGCUAUAAAAUGUAUAACAUUAAAAACAAAUGAUUCUUUAAAAUGUUUAUAAUAAUUGUAUAAAAAAAAAAAAAAAACAACGAAAAACAUCUUUUAUUAUAACAACUUUUAUAAUAAUGCUGAAAAAACCAUUUCUAUCGAAUCUAUCUUAAUCAUAAAUUUAUAAUCAUACUAAUAUAUUAUAAAUAUGAUACAGCAUAUUAAAACAACUUAUAAAUGAUUAGGUAGUUUAAAGGAGUCUUGAUUUGCAAUUUGAUGAAUAGUAUAGUAUUAACAAAGCGCACACAUAUUAAUAAAACAGUAUAAUAUUAAUUAAAAAUGAUAUAUUAACCUAUGCAUCGUAAUAAUAAUAAUUAUUGGUGUAUGGUUGAAUGGAUUGACAAUAUAUUUUUAGACAAUAAUUGCAAAUAUAAAGACAUAAUCGGUGGUGCAUGGGUGAAAGGGUAUACGGCGAAUAUGCUUAGUUCACUUCUCACAUAGUUCAUUAUUUAGCAUACUUGCUAAAAAAAAACGUGGUUAUAUGGGAUAUACAUAAAACACAGUAGUUAAUCGGGAAAAGAAUAAUAAUCAUUGGUUUCUAAAAUAUAUUUUUUUGACUACGUAAAAUAGAUGUUUUAGAUUCUGAGUGGAGGGAGAAAUGUAUUGGUUUUACAAUGAUAUUUAUUUUUUUUUCUUUGAAAAACUUUUCAGAAAUUUGACCUAGGGGUUUUUAUAAUAAAUGGGAAAAAUCUAAAGAAAGCGGAAAAAUUUACAAAAUGUAUUAUUAUCAAAUCGUAAACAUUACGGCCUUUCAAAACAUGUAUAACCGAACUCCGCUCAGUUAUAUAUUAAAUUUCUCUUCUACCUUACUAAUUUCUCAUCUACAACAAUUUCCCACCCAUUGUGCAAAGUAUACUCCUUUAUUUUUUUUAUACUUCGUAUUGCACUUUUUCUCCUGUUAUUCUGUUAUUCAUCCAACGUGGUUUUGCACAACAAAACAGGGAUUUUUUUUCGUUUAAAAAUCCGACAGAAAUUAGCACAUGAAUUAGUGAGCGAAGCGAUCGAAGUGUUAAAAUGGGAACUAUUGGACUUUAUCAUUCCAUGCAAAAUAAAAUUCUAAAGAUUAUUUGUCUGUGUAUUAUUUUUCCGAUCUAUACUGUCCCCCCCUCCGGAUAUAUGGAUGUAUAAUACCGUGUAUAUACUGCUACUAGAUAAUUGAUUAGGUAUUUCAUGGACGUAAAUAACAAAUAAUCCACAUUAAUUGGUUAGCGUCUGGGUAACUUUAAAUGGUUCUCAAAUUAUAAUUUAGAAGUUUUGAAAAACAUUUGAUGUAAACAAAAAUCAAACUUUAACCUCUCAUAUUAUGGUCUAUAAAUAAUUAAAACGAAAAAAAUAAUGUUUAUCGAAAAUUAUUUACGUUAUUAAAUUAUUAUAUUAAAUGUAGCUAUUUAUUAAAUUACCCAAUAAUUACAAUUUAAUUAUUUUGGUUAUUAAAAUUAAACAAGUAACAAAUAACGAGUCAGGCAAUUUAAAUAUAUUUAUUUAAUAUUUAACAAAUAGAAUAAAAAAAUGUCCCAUUUUUGAAAUCAAAUAAUUAAAGAUAAUUUUUUUACAAGUGAUGAAAAAUGUAUAAUUUUCAAACUUGUCUUGAAUUUUUUUUUGAAAAAUUUCGGCAGGAAAAAAGGAGGCGGUUAAAAAUGCCAACAGUCAAAAUGUCGACAUUCCAACUAUCGAAAGUUUAUUAUUAUUUAAGGAAAUAUUAACAAAUUAAAAUGUAUUUUGGCCUAUUCAUUGAGCUAAAACAGUCGUCUAUUAAUGUUUGUUAAUAAAAAUUAUUACACAACAUUUAUUUGUAUAAAUUUUAUUUAGAUUUUAAAUUAAUUAAAAAAAAAAAUUAUCGUUUUUAUAAUAUGUAUACACGAUAAAUAUCAGUAAAAGUGCUCCGAUCUUUACACACAUACUGCAUGACUGCAUGAUUCUAGGAGAAAGUGUUUUUUUGAAGUUACUUUGUUUCGACUAUAAAAAAAAUCGAGAAGUUUGAUUAGUUAUUUUACUGAUAUUUAUUGUGUAUAAUGUAAAAAUAUAAUACUUAAACUUACCUUUAAAAUUGUAAAUUAAUUCUUAUUCUAAGUUCAAUUGUUUUAACACAAUCACUAUGUUUUAUGAUUAACUGUAUGUUGCGGU
rnacentral:lncRNA from 1 species